GCAGCAGGCGCGCAAAUUACCCAAUUCCCGAACGGAGAGGUAGUGACGAGAAAUAGCGAGGUCGCGGCCUUUUGGCCCGACGAUUGAAAUGAGAACACGCGAACGAUGUUAUCGAGAAUCUAUUGGAGGGCAAGUUCUGGUGCCAGCAGCCGCGGUAAUUCCAGCUCGAAAAGCGUAUGUCAAAGUUGCUGCGGUUAAAACGCUCGUCGUUGGACAUCAGGCGGCGGGCCGUGGACGGCCAAGUGUCGUUACCACGUGCUCGCUCCUAAGAUUAUGCUUGUCUCUUGAGAUGCGCUUCGUUGCGUGUCUCGGUGAGGAGCCACUGUCACUUUGAGAAACCCAGUGUGCUCAACGCAGGCUAACCGCUCGAAUUACGCUGCAUGGGAUGAUGAAAUGGGGUCUCGGCUCCGUUUCGUUGGUUUACGAAAGCAGAGAACAUGAUUAAUCGGGACAGACGGGGGCAUUCGUAUUGCGGUGCUAGAAGUGAAAUUCUGUGACCAUCGCAAGACGAACAAGUGCGAAAGCAUUUGCCAAGAAUGUUUUCGUUAAUCACGAACGAAAGUUAGAGGAUCGAAGACGAUUAGAUACCGUCCUAGUUCUAACGGUAAACUGUGCCGGCCAGGAAUUCGCCAACGCAAUAACUUGGCGAGCGCUUUCCGGGAAACCAAAGCUAUUUGGUUCCGGGGAGAGUAUGGUUGCAAAAUCGAAACUUAAAGGAAUUGACGGAGGGGCACACCAGGAGUGGAGCCUGCGGCUCAAU
rnacentral:rRNA from 1 species